rnacentral:rRNA from 1 species
CAUGCAAGUCGAGCGGUAGCACAGAGAGCUUGCUCUCGGGUGACGAGCGGCGGACGGGUGAGUAAUGUCUGGGAAACUGCCUGAUGGAGGGGGAUAACUACUGGAAACGGUAGCUAAUACCGCAUAACGUCGCAAGACCAAAGUGGGGGACCUUCGGGCCUCAUGCCAUCAGAUGUGCCCAGAUGGGAUUAGCUAGUAGGUGGGGUAAUGGCUCACCUAGGCGACGAUCCCUAGCUGGUCUGAGAGGAUGACCAGCCACACUGGAACUGAGACACGGUCCAGACUCCUACGGGAGGCAGCAGUGGGGAAUAUUGCACAAUGGGCGCAAGCCUGAUGCAGCCAUGCCGCGUGUAUGAAGAAGGCCUUCGGGUUGUAAAGUACUUUCAGCGAGGAGGAAGGCGUUAAGGUUAAUAACCUURGYGAUUGACGUUACUCGCAGAAGAAGCACCGGCUAACUCCGUGCCAGCAGCCGCGGUAAUACGGAGGGUGCAAGCGUUAAUCGGAAUUACUGGGCGUAAAGCGCACGCAGGCGGUCUGUCAAGUCGGAUGUGAAAUCCCCGGGCUCAACCUGGGAACUGCAUUCGAAACUGGCAGGCUAGAGUCUUGUAGAGGGGGGUAGAAUUCCAGGUGUAGCGGUGAAAUGCGUAGAGAUCUGGAGGAAUACCGGUGGCGAAGGCGGCCCCCUGGACAAAGACUGACGCUCAGGUGCGAAAGCGUGGGGAGCAAACAGGAUUAGAUACCCUGGUAGUCCACGCCGUAAACGAUGUCGACUUGGAGGUUGUGCCCUUGAGGCGUGGCUUCCGGAGCUAACGCGUUAAGUCGACCGCCUGGGGAGUACGGCCGCAAGGUUAAAACUCAAAUGAAUUGACGGGGGCCCGCACAAGCGGUGGAGCAUGUGGUUUAAUUCGAUGCAACGCGAAGAACCUUACCUACUCUUGACAUCCAGAGAACUUAGCAGAGAUGCUUUGGUGCCUUCGGGAACUCUGAGACAGGUGCUGCAUGGCUGUCGUCAGCUCGUGUUGUGAAAUGUUGGGUUAAGUCCCGCAACGAGCGCAACCCUUAUCCUUUGUUGCCAGCGAUUCGGUCGGGAACUCAAAGGAGACUGCCAGUGAUAAACUGGAGGAAGGUGGGGAUGACGUCAAGUCAUCAUG